rnacentral:rRNA from 1 species
AGCAUAUUCAUUUGACGUUAGCUGCAGAAGAAAGCACCGGCUAACUCCGUGCCAGCAGCCGCGGUAAUACGGAGGGUGCGAGCGUUAAUCGGAAUUACUGGGCGUAAAGCGCAUGCAGGUGGUUUGUUAAGUCAGAUGUGAAAGACCCGGGGCGUCAACCUCGGAAUUGCAUUUGAAACUGGCAAACUAGAGUACUGUAGAGGGGGGUAGGAAUUUCAGGUGUAGAGGUGAAAUGCGUAGAGAUCUGAAGGAAUACCGGUGGCGAAGGCGGCCCCCUCGGACAGAUACUGACACUCAGAUGCGAAAGCGUGGGGAGCAAACAGGAUUAGAUACCCUGGUAG